GGGGAACCAGGACUUUUACUGUGAAAAAAUUAGAGUGCUCCAGGCAGGCCUAUGCUCGAAUACAUUAGCAUGGAAUAAUUGAAUAGGACGUGUGGUUCUAUUUUGUUGGUUUCUAGGACCGCCGUAAUGAUUAAUAGGGACAGUCGGGGGCAUCAGUAUUCAAUUGUCAGAGGUGAAAUUCUUGGAUCUAUUGAAGACUAACUACUGCGAAAGCAUUUGCCAAGGAUGUUUUCAUUGAUAAGGAACGAAAGUUAGGGGAUCGAAGACGAUCAGAUACCGUCGUAGUCUUAACUAUAAACUAUGCCGACUAGGGAUCGGACGAUGUUAUUUCUUGACGCGUUCGGCACCUUUCGAGAAAUCAAAGUGCUUGGGCUCCAGGGGGAGUAUGGUCGCAAGGCUGAAACUUAAAGAAAUUGACGGAAGGGCACCACCAGGGGUGGAACCUGCGGCUUAAUUUGACUCAACACGGGGAAACUCACCAGGUCCAGACACAGUGAGGAUUGACAGAUUGAGAGCUCUUUCUUGAUUCUGUGGGUGGUGGUGCAUGGCCGUUCUUAGUUGGUGGAGUGAUUUGUCUGCUUAAUUGCGAUAACGAACGAGACCU
rnacentral:rRNA from 1 species